AUUGAACGCUGGCGGCAGGCCUAACACAUGCAAGUCGAGCGGCAGCGGAAAGUAGCUUGCUACUUUGCCGGCGAGCGGCGGACGGGUGAGUAAUGUCUGGGAAACUGCCUGAUGGAGGGGGAUAACUACUGGAAACGGUAGCUAAUACCGCAUAACGUCGCAAGACCAAAGAGGGGGACCUUCGGGCCUCUUGCCAUCAGAUGUGCCCAGAUGGGAUUAGCUAGUAGGUGGGGUAACGGCUCACCUAGGCGACGAUCCCUAGCUGGUCUGAGAGGAUGACCAGCCACCCUGGAACUGAGACACGGUCCAGACUCCUACGGGAGGCAGCAGUGGGGAAUAUUGCACAAUGGGCGCAAGCCUGAUGCAGCCAUGCCGCGUGUAUGAAGAAGGCCUUCGGGUUGUAAAGUACUUUCAGCGGGGAGGAAGGUGUUGAGGUUAAUAACCUCAGCAAUUGACGUUACCCGCAGAAGAAGCACCGGCUAACUCCGUG
rnacentral:rRNA from 1 species